AUGGUAAAUGCAGUUGAAAAGUCAGAAAUGCUAAAACCUCAUGACAAAAAAGGUUUUAAAGGCACCAAGGCUAUUUGGUUUCUACACCUGAGUAAGAAAGCCGAAUAGAUUAGUAAAUAAUGCCAGGUGGGGCUCUUGACGUUAACAUGUCGAACUUACGGUUAGAAGUCACGAGAAUCAGUUGGUAAUUCAACACCAGAAUUCUACAAUGUCAUCCUCUUCUUUGGUGUAAUAGACAUAUUAUAAGAUUAUGACAUCAGCAAGAAAGCUUGAGCACACCUAUAAGGCAUUCUAAUACAACCGGGCUUCCAUUUCGCU
rnacentral:lncRNA from 1 species